GGUCGAGACGACGCUGGCGGCGUGCUUAACACAUGCAAGUCGAACGGAGAUUCAGCAAUGGAUCUUAGUGGCGGAACGGGUGAGUAACGCGUAGGCAAUCUGCCUUCUAGAUGGGGACAACAUCCCGAAAGGGGUGCUAAUACCGAAUGUUGUACCGUUUCCGCAUGGAGAUGAUACUAAAGGUGGCCUCUGAAUAUGCUACCGCUAGAAGAUGAGCCUGCGUCUGAUUAGCUAGUUGGAGGGGUAACGGCCCACCAAGGCUUCGAUCAGUAGCCGGUCUGAGAGGAUGAACGGCCACACUGGGACUGAGACACGGCCCAGACUCCUACGGGAGGCAGCAGUGGGGAAUCUUCCGCAAUGGACGAAAGUCUGACGGAGCAACGCCGCGUGAGUGAAGAAGGUUUUCGGAUCGUAAAGCUCUUUCGUUAGGGACGAACGUGCUCUUUGUGAAUAAUGAGGAGUAAUGACGGUACCUAAAUAAGAAGCCACGGCUAACUACGUGCCAGCCGCCGC
rnacentral:rRNA from 1 species